rnacentral:lncRNA from 1 species
UGACAUAUACCUUUGUCUAACAUCUGAGUAAUGUGACUCUCAUGUGUGGGCCCAGCACGCAUCAGAUGGGAUUGUUACAUACACCUGGGCCAAGCACUUAGGCGAUGUGACUCUCCUGCCAGGGCGAGCCCUGUAGUAAGGAGGAUUUUAACAUAUUGCUGUACUCAGCACCUAGGUGAUGGGAUUUUUCUUCCUGGUUCCUGCCCAGAGUUCAAAUUGUGACAUAUAUCUGGGCCCAAAACACAGCUGAUGGUAAGGAUUAUUACCCUUCCAUAUGGACACAGCCCAUUGUUGAGGUUCUGAAUCUCACAGCUGGAGGCAAUUGAAAGUUGGAUGUGUGAUUCUUAUACAUGGAUCCAGAUCACAGGUAAGAUGAUGACUUCUGAAUCAAGAUCAAACACCCUUGUGAGGCUGUGUCUCCCCUAUCAGGAUACUAUUUGCAGAUGAGGUUGGGGGUCUCAUACACAGAUCUAGUCCACGGUUGAGGUUGUGACUCAGGUACUUGGACAGAAUUCACAAGAGCUGCUAAUUCUUAUAUUUGGAGCCAGGCCAUAUGCAAUAUUGUUAAUCUCAUCCCUGGACCUUUCUGCAGGUGUGAUUUUGAUUCAUACCUUUGCCCAGCACCUAACUGAUUUUACAUUUCUGCAUGGGUUCAGACUAAAUGUGGGAUUGUGACAUAUACCUAGGCCAAGCACAUAGGUGAUGGGACUCUCCUGCCUGGGCCAGUCUCUCAGAGGUGACUUAGAAAUAUCUUAUGCAGCCAUCACCUAGCUAAUGUGACUCUCCUCUCCUGCCUGGGCUCAGCCCACAGGGGCAUUAUGACGUAUUACUGGGUUCAUCACCUAGGUGACAUGACUCUCCUCUUCUGCCUGGGCCCCACCCCCAUUUGGAAUUUGGACAUAUCCGUGGGCCUAUCACCUAGGUGAUAUGAAUCUCCUCUUUUGCCUUGGACCUUCUUACAUGGGGAAUUGAGACAAAUUACUGGGCCCAGCACCUAGCAGAUGUUACUGUCUGUUUUGCCUGGAUCUUGCCUACAGAAGGGAUUGUGACAAAUCAGUGGGCCAAGCAUCCAGGGUAAUUUGUGACAUACUGCUGGACCCAGCACCCAGAUCAUUUGACUCUCCUGCCUUGGUCCUGCCCACAGAGGGCAUUGUGACAUGUGAGUGGGCUCAGCAGCCAGAUGAUGUCACCUUCCUGCCAGGACUCUUCCAACAGAAGGGGCAUUGACCUACUCAGGCUCAGUAUUCAGGUGCUGUCUGAGGUUUGGCUGUCAUGCGUGGAUUCAAGUUGCUGUUGAAAUUGUGAUGUGCAGCUGGGCAUGGUGGCUCAUGCUUGUAAUCCCAGCACUUUGGGAGGCCAAGGCAGGUGGAUCACC